ACCAUUCAUAUCCUUGGAACAAUUCCUAAUAGAAUGUUAUUAUUACAACAAUCUUUAGCAAGACUUUCGAGAUAAGGAUGG
rnacentral:pre_miRNA from 1 species